GGCUCCCCGUGCUAAGGUAGCAUAAUCAUUCGCCUUUUAAUUGAAGGAUAGUAUGAACGGCUUUACAUGUUAUUACCUUUAUUUUUAGAUUUACUUUAAAUUUUCUUGAGAGUAAGAAGACUCCCAUUAUUUAGGGGGACGACAAGACCCUGUCGAACUUUACUUUAAGUUGUGCUGGGGUGGCAAUAAACAAAUUCUUUCCAUAUUCUUUAUUCUCAACCCAAUUAAGGAUAAACCAAGUUACCGCAGGGAUAACAGCAUAAUUUUUUCCUAGAGCCCUUAUCUAAGAAAAAGAUUGUGACCUCGAUGUUGAAUUAAUAAUCUCUUAGAAGCAGCAUUCUAAAAAGAAAGUCUGUUCGACUUUUAAUCAAUUACAUGAUUUGAGUUCAGACCGGCGCGAGCCAG
rnacentral:rRNA from 1 species